GCAGCAGGAAGCACACAAAUCUCCCAGGAGUGUUGGCGUCACCCGGGCGCAGAUAGCGCACCACAGGACGCACAGGACUUAAAGUCCUUAAAUUACAAAUUACGGGCAAGGAAGUCCGGUCAGGACCGAUAUCCUAGAAUUCUGAAGUUGUUGCAUACUUUUCUGGUGCACUAUUACCAACACUGCGCUAGAAAUUCCCAAACAGUUCUGGCAGAUCCCGCAAGGAGAGCCCAGAAUUGGGCGGAGAAAAGCAUACUUACCUGGCGUAGAGGUUAACCGUGAUCACGAAGGCGGUUCCUCCGGAGUGAGGCUUGGCCAUUGCACUACGGCUGAGUUGACCUCUGCGAUUAUUCCUAAUGUGAAUAACUCGUGCGCGUAAUUUUUGGUAGCCGGGAAUGGCGUUCGCGCCGUCCCGACAUUUAAAAUAAAUAUUGAAAAGAAAACGCUUAGUUUUAGUUAAUAAUUAGAUUGAUGAAGUAGUUAGUGUGGAAGUUAAUUUAAACAAAUGUCUUUACCACUAACAGCUAGUUUGCGCUUUUCCCAAUCAUCGAUCAUUGAAAGGGAAAAAGAGGAGGGGUUUUUACGAAAUCCCUCAACAUCCCCAUUCCAUUCAUCCAUCCAUUAACUGCCUUGGUCUUUUUUGCUCCUCCUUGGCCAAACCAAACGUAACCGGUCCAGCCUCCUUUUUCGCGCUUCCUUAUUUAUUUAUCAUCAUUUAUUAAACGCUCUCGCUUGCCUGCCAAGAAAGGAGUCAGUCGUCGUCGUCGGUCCGAGUUCGGCACAAAAAAUUGUCGCUGUCAGAUUACGUUGCAAUAUUGCUUCCAGUUGCCAUAUCCUGCCGACUUUCCGCCCAAAUUCACGCUGCGAAGGACGAGAGAAACGUGAAAUCGAAGGGUCGGGCGGGGGUCGUCCCCUCCCAAUUCUCUUGGCUUUGACACAAGCAACAAUUUACUCGGUUUCAGACACACCGAACAGGGGCGCACACACACACCCUCGCAGUGGGAAAGACAAAUACAGAUGUACCAACAGCAGCAUCCCCCGUCAGAAGACCAGGGCACAACAUUCCUGGGUAGGAAUAUUUCCGAGCUUUAAUGAGGUUGGGCCACCAACCAAUGAGUCCUUCGCAGGGGGAGGACGACCUGCUUUCCGCCCAACGUCCCCUUAACUUUUUCGCCCGGGAAGAGUCUAUUGCGGAAGUAAAUGAAAAUUUGAUUUGGAAUUUCGUGUGUCCUGGUCGUGCGUGCGUGCGUUACAGGAUCUCAGCCCAAACCAAUGAACCCAAACCGAACGAAUCCCCGAACGACGCGGAUGAUGAUGUUGAUGACGACGUCAAAGUCGAAGAUGGGCAUGUGAUAAAAUAAAUUACGGGCAGAUUAGUGCGAAUUUAAUUAUCGUUUGUUCCUUUGAUGUCGCUAAGCAAAUAAAGGGAAUAAAUAUGAUGAUGAUGCAAACGGCAGUUCUAAUAACAUUAUUUCCGCAUCCAGUUAAUUGCGGAAAAUGUGUGCGAGUCUGUGUUGGAAAAAUUCCUACCUGCGGCUAUCUGAAUUUUCCAACCCCUAGCAGUGCCUACUUUCUCCUUUCACUCGCACACAGUGCCUAUAAUUCCCAACUGGUUCUGGCUGCUUGCCUAUGGAGAUCCCAGAGUUGAGCAGCGAUAAGCAUACUUACCUGGCGUAGAGGUUAACCGUGAUCACGAAGGCGGUUCCUCCGGAGUGAGGCUUGGCCAUUGCACUACGGCUGAGUUGACCUCUGCGAUUAUUCCUAAUGUGAAUAACUCGUGCGCGUAAUUUUUGGUAGCCGGGAAUGGCGUUCGCGCCGUCCCGACAUUUAAAAUAAAUAUUGAAAAGAAAACGCUUAGUUUUAGUUAAUAAUUAGAUUGAUGAAGUAGUUAGUGUGGAAGUUAAUUUAAACAAAUGUCUUUACCACUAACAGCUAGUUUGCGCUUUUCCCAAUCAUCGAUCAUUGAAAGGGAAAAAGAGGAGGGGUUUUUACGAAAUCCCUCAACAUCCCCAUUCCAUUCAUCCAUCCAUUAACUGCCUUGGUCUUUUUUGCUCCUCCUUGGCCAAACCAAACGUAACCGGUCCAGCCUCCUUUUUCGCGCUUCCUUAUUUAUUUAUCAUCAUUUAUUAAACGCUCUCGCUUGCCUGCCAAGAAAGGAGUCAGUCGUCGUCGUCGGUCCGAGUUCGGCACAAAAAAUUGUCGCUGUCAGAUUACGUUGCAAUAUUGCUUCCAGUUGCCAUAUCCUGCCGACUUUCCGCCCAAAUUCACGCUGCGAAGGACGAGAGAAACGUGAAAUCGAAGGGUCGGGCGGGGGUCGUCCCCUCCCAAUUCUCUUGGCUUUGACACAAGCAACAAUUUACUCGGUUUCAGGUUAAAGUCAUAUCGUUAGCAUUAACGCUUUUUGAUUUUUAUUGAGUCAGCUAAAUUUUAUUCGAUUUACCAUCCACACACACACAGACACACCGAACAGGGGCGCACACACACACCCUCGCAGUGGGAAAGACAAAUACAGAUGUACCAACAGCAGCAUCCCCCGUCAGAAGACCAGGGCACAACAUUCCUGGGUAGGAAUAUUUCCGAGCUUUAAUGAGGUUGGGCCACCAACCAAUGAGUCCUUCGCAGGGGGAGGACGACCUGCUUUCCGCCCAACGUCCCCUUAACUUUUUCGCCCGGGAAGAGUCUAUUGCGGAAGUAAAUGAAAAUUUGAUUUGGAAUUUCGUGUGUCCUGGUCGUGCGUGCGUGCGUUACAGGAUCUCAGCCCAAACCAAUGAACCCAAACCGAACGAAUCCCCGAACGACGCGGAUGAUGAUGUUGAUGACGACGUCAAAGUCGAAGAUGGGCAUGUGAUAAAAUAAAUUACGGGCAGAUUAGUGCGAAUUUAAUUAUCGUUUGUUCCUUUGAUGUCGCUAAGCAAAUAAAGGGAAUAAAUAUGAUGAUGAUGCAAACGGCAGUUCUAAUAACAUUAUUUCCGCAUCCAGUUAAUUGCGGAAAAUGUGUGCGAGUCUGUGUUGGAAAAAUUCCUACCUGCGGCUAUCUGAAUUUUCCAACCCCUAGCAGUGCCUACUUUCUCCUUUCACUCGCACACAGUGCCUAUAAUUCCCAACUGGUUCUGGCUGCUUGCCUAUGGAGAUCCCAGAGUUGAGCAGCGAUAAGCAUACUUACCUGGCGUAGAGGUUAACCGUGAUCACGAAGGCGGUUCCUCCGGAGUGAGGCUUGGCCAUUGCACUACGGCUGAGUUGACCUCUGCGAUUAUUCCUAAUGUGAAUAACUCGUGCGUGUAAUUUUUGGUAGCCGGGAAUGGCGUUCGCGCCGUCCCGACA